rnacentral:rRNA from 1 species
GACGAACGCUGGCGGCGUGCCUAAUACAUGCAAGUCGAACGAGAGCAACCGGUGCUUGCACUGGUCAAUCUAGUGGCGAACGGGUGAGUAACACGUGGGUAACCUGCCCAUCAGAGGGGGAUAACAUCCGGAAACGGAUGCUAAAACCGCAUAGGUCUUCGAACCGCAUGGUUUGAAGAGGAAAAGAGGCGCAAGCUUCUGCUGAUGGAUGGACCCGCGGUGCAUUAGCUGGUUGGUGAGGUAACGGCUCACCAAGGCCGUGAUGCAUAGCCGACCUGAGGGGGUGAUCGCCAAAAGUGGGACUGGGACACGGCCCAAACCCCUACGGGAGGCAGCAGUAGGGAAUUUUCCGCAAGGGGAGGAAGUCUGACGGAGCAACGCCGGGGGAGUGAAAAAGGUUUUGGGAUAGUAAAACUCUUUUGUUAGAGAAAAAAAAGGGCUGGGGUAAAUGUUGGCGCCUUGACGGUAUUAAACCAGAAAGCCACGGCUAACUACGG